UAAGUGAGAUGUGAAAUACUCGGGCUUAACCUGAGUGCUGCAUUUCAAACUGGAAGUCUAGAGUGCAGGAGAGGAGAAGGGAAUUCCUAGUGUAGCGGUGAAAUGCGUAGAGAUUAGGAAGGAACACCAGUGGCGAAGGCGCUUCUCUGGACUGUAACUGACGCUGAGGCUCGAAAGCGUGGGGAGCAAACAGGAUUAGAUACCCUGGUAGUCCGCACGGUAAACGAUGGAUGCCCGCUGUUGGCCUGAAUAGGUCAGCGGCCAAGCGAAAGCAUUAAGCAUCCCACCUGGGGAGUACGCCGGCAACGGUGAAACUCAAAGGAAUUGACGGGGGCCCGCACAAGCGGAGGAACAUGUGGUUUAAUUCGAUGAUACGCGAGGAACCUUACCCGGGCUUGAAUUGCAGAGGAAGGAUUUGGAGACAAUGACGCCCUUCGGGGUCUCUGUGAAGGUGCUGCAUGGUUGUCGUCAGCUCGUGCCGUGAGGUGUCGGCUUAAGUGCCAUAACGAGCGCAACCCCUCUCCUCCGUUGCCAUCAGGUUAAGCUGGGCACUCUGUGGACACUGCCACCGUAAGGUGUGAGGAAGGUGGGGAUGACGUCAAAUCAGCACGGCCCUUACGUCCGGGGCUACACACGUGUUACAAUGGCAGGUACAGAGAGACGGUCGUUCGCAAGUACGAUCAAAUCCUUAAAGCCUGUCUCAGUUCGGACUGGGGUCUGCAACCCGACCCCACGAAGCUGGAUUCGCUAG
rnacentral:rRNA from 1 species